rnacentral:lncRNA from 1 species
CCACUUUUUUCUAACUCACUCCAUCCCAUUACUAGUAAAUAAAAUUCACCCUUUAAAGCAAAUUAGUGUUCUAUUGUAUAUACACACAAAUUAUUUUUGUGAUUACGAAAUAUUGUAGCGUAUCAAUGGUCCCAAGUAAAUAUAAAACAUUUUAGUAAUCGUCUACACUCCUCAUUUUCCUCUCUUUCUUUUCCCAUUCUCUUAUUUGAGAUAUCCAGAAUAAAAGACCAAUUCUUACAAUACAAGUACUCUUUCUUAUCUGAUCCGCAAUUUACCAAGUUCUUUUUUUUCUUUUUCCCUUUCUGAUAGACAUCUACCACCCACAUUGGGAAGAAAUCACAGCUACUUCUCUAUCAAAUCUUAAAUCAUGCAUGACCUGAUACUCUUGCAUGUUUCAUAAGCACGUCUACCAUGUUAGCAUACGUCCUUCAUUUCUCUGUAGAUUCACCAAACACAAUGCUCUUCUUUGGGUACAACAUGCCAAAUAUUCUCUUAUUCCCCUCACAACAGUAUAAGCUUGCAUAACAAUGAGAUCUCCUACUCCUGAAUGAAGCUUCCAAGGAAUAUUAUAAAAUGGAAAAAGCUCGUCGUUUGUUCAAGUAUUGGUUCUCCUCUUUAGACACCUUUACCUCCAAAUUCAAAUUUACAGCUAACCAAAUUAUCAACUUCAAAAUUAUAACAAAUAAACUGUCGAAAAUGCCAACAGCAGCAAGCUGAUCUUACAUAGAGGUACCAUGAACCACUCAUAUCACUACUCCUCUGCAUGAGGAUAUCGUAGCUUUCCUCCUGGCCGCCAAAACCUGUGACACGGGAUUUUAAUAGCUCAACUGGCAUAUCCAUUGUCAUACUUAACAGCCAAAGGCAGUAACAGAGGAUUUCAAACAGGUCAACUGGUGUAUGCAAGUUAACAGCCAAAGGCCAUGCCCAAUAGGAGUAUGCAAGUUAACAGCCUUCAUAACUCUAUCUUAACUUCCUUCCAGUACUCCUUUGCUCAUCUUUUCCUAUGAACAGGAGACCUUGAUCUUGAUCUUGACCUCCUUCCCCUGCCAUUACAUGAACCAACUUAUAAACAAAAUAAGAUUCCUAAAGUGCAUUUAUUAGAUUGUUUCACCUGUAUGUUCUUAGUUAUGCUGAUUGGAUGGUUAAGACUGAAAAAUAUCAAGACGAUAAAUUUAAGAACACCCAACAAGAUACCUG